rnacentral:rRNA from 1 species
GAUCAUGGCUCAGGAUGAACGCUGGCGGCGUGCUUAACACAUGCAAGUCGAACGGGAAUUACUUUAUUGAAACUUCGGUCGAUUUAAUUUAAUUCUAGUGGCGGACGGGUGAGUAACGCGUGGGUAACCUGCCUUAUACAGGGGGAUAACAGUCAGAAAUGGCUGCUAAUACCGCAUAAGCGCACAGAGCUGCAUGGCUCAGUGUGAAAAAACUCCGGUGGUAUAAGAUGGACCCGCGUUGGAUUAG